CGUGCAAUGUGGAAUCUCGCUCGCGCGUCGUCGAAACACGCCGGCGCGGCGGCGAAUCUGCGCCAGGUACGGCGGUUCUCCGCCGCCAUUGCGGGGCCCGGGCCUUGCAUCGUCCAUAAGCGGGGGACCGAUAUCCUCCACGAUCCCUGGUUCAACAAGGAUACUGCUUUCCCCUUGACAGAAAGAGAUCGGCUUGGACUUCGCG
rnacentral:misc_RNA from 1 species